rnacentral:lncRNA from 1 species
AUUUUCCUACUACAUUCAAAAACUACAGGUUGCAGCAUCAUCAAAACUUAUCUUCAGGUUUUACCAAUACUCCCUUAUUGGUAACAAUCUCCCCCUUUUUGAUGAUGAUAAAAAAUUCUCCUUUUAAAAGCAACUUAGGUUUACCUGCAACACAUACAAACUAAAAAGCAGCCACAGAGUUAGUAGUACCUGUACAAUUUAAAAAUAUUUCUCCCCUUAAUUAUUCUUCUCCCCUUAUAUUAUUCUUCUCCCCCUUUUUGAUCAUAAGCAAAAAGAUUAAAUUAAAAAGCUCCCCCUAAAUAUGAUCUCCCCCU